GGUGCUUGGGGGAGUGUGUAUAGCCUUUUCACAAAGACCUGGAGCUGGGUGGUGUUGGUUCCAUCUCAGCUUGCAUCUCUGUGCAUUUGGGAUGGCUUGAAAAAUGCUGAGAGAAUGAAGGAAUUACGCUGCCUGACUUCAGCCUCAUGAUGUCUGGUGCUGAGGAGCAGAAGGGCACAGUGAAUCCUGAGCACAGGCUGCUCCUACACAGAGGGCAAUGCCUUGGCAGUUGAAGAGACCCAAUCCCCCUGACUCUAGGAAGGCUGUGAUCCAGAGCAUGUCUCCAAAUCCUGGGAUCAUCUGAAGGCUAAUGGUGUCAAGAGGAAGGCCCCUGAUGGCUCUUGGAUGAGGCAGCUGAUGGAGCUUUCUCCAUCGGUUGGUGGGAGGUGGUGAACUUGCUGGUGGAGGACAUGCCGGUUCCCUGCCCAGAAACUGCUGUGCUCUGGAGUAGGAGGUAGGAGCCAUCCAGUCAAAAGCAAUGAUCCUAGCAUUAUUUGCCUCUUGCACAAAACUCUGAUGAAAACAGAUGGAAUGUUUGCAAGUCUUUAAUAAAGACAAAACAAACCAAAACAGAGCCCGGGAAUCUGAAGGCAGGUUUCUAUUUGCUCUUGGUCUUGCCAGGCAUGGCAAGAAGUAGUUGUAAUAGUUGUCUUCUGGGGACAGCCCAAGGAGAAUGGGCACCUGAAGGUGGGCAUGGCGUGUUGUCCCCACUGAGCACUCUGCCUGCAGGAGCUGAGGGAGCUGAGCCAGACACCUCCACCCUCAUUCAUCAGCAUGGAUGGAGCAGCCCAUGCCUCCCUCCUCCUUCCACUGCUGUGUGCUUUGGACAUGCACUGAAAGCAGAGCUGUCGGUUAAAAUAAGAGCUGCUUUUCCGGCUCCCAGAGGAACCCUGCUGUGACCUGUGAGGUGUUGCAAUCCCUCUCUGCCACCGGCCUGCCUGGGUUUUGCCACCUUCCUCCCCCUUCCAUGGUGCUUAUCGCAGCGUUUUGGUAGAACUGCCCUUGUCAUAUAAAUCUAAACAUAAUUCUCUCUUUCCUGUUAAGCUAAAGAAAUAAAC